GCAUCAAGUGGAAUUUCACUAAGUUUUUGAUCAACAGAGAGGGUCAGGUGGUGAAGGAUAUGGACCACUGGAUGAUCCAAGUGUGGUGGAGAAGGAUCUUCCCCGAUACUUAUAAACACCUAAUGGAUAACUGAUGCCUCACUUACUCAUACUUCGUCCAUUUUG